rnacentral:misc_RNA from 1 species
GAUGAAGAACGCAGCGAAAUGCGAUAAGUAAUGCGAAUUGCAGAAUUCCGUGAGUCAUCGAAUCUUUGAACGCACAUUGCGCCCUUUGGCAUUCCGAAGGGCAUGCCUGUUCGAGCGUCAUUUAUCAACCCUCAAGCCCGGCUUGCGGUUGGGUCCCGCCGUGGGCGACCACGGCGGACCCGAAAGGUAAUGGCGGUGCCCGUGGGGCCCUGGACGCAGCGAGCUUCUCGGCACGCGUCCCGGCGGUCCCCGGCGCCGUCUCCACCAAUCCACCACGCAGAUUGACCUCGGAUCGGGUAGGGAUACCCGCUGAACUUAAGCAUAUCAAUAAGCGGAGGA